rnacentral:rRNA from 1 species
ACCAGACUCCUACGGGAGGCAGCAGUGGGGAAUAUUGGGCAAUGGGCGCAAGCCUGACCCAGCAAUGCCGCGUGAAGGAAGAAGGCCCUCGGGUUGUAAACUUCUUUUAUCAGGGACGAAGGAUGUGACGGUACCUGAUGAAUAAGCUCCGGCUAACUACGUGCCAGCAGCCGCGGUAAUACGUAGGGAGCAAGCGUUAUCCGGAUUUACUGGGUGUAAAGGGCGCGUAGGCGGGAUGGCAAGUCAGAUGUGAAAUCCAGGGGCUCAACCCCUGAACUGCAUUUGAAACUGUCGGUCUUGAGUAUCGGAGAGGCAGGCGGAAUUCCUAGUGUAGCGGUGAAAUGCGUAGAUAUUAGGAGGAACACCAGUGGCGAAGGCGGCCUGCUGGACGACAACUGACGGUGCGGCGCGACGGCGUGGGGAGCAAACAGGAUUAGAUACCCUUGUA